rnacentral:rRNA from 2 species
AAGUCNGUAACAAGGUUUCCGUAGGUGAACCUGCGGAAGGAUCAUUG